AGAAGGUUAUUUUAAUUAUUUUUUUUGGUUUUUCAAACAAGUGAUGUAAUCAAGUCAACACUAUCCUAAGAUUACCUUAGAUCUAGAUAGCUCCUAACUGCCAAGGUCACCUUCGAGCACUCCAAGUAAAAGAUUAGCCACUCAAUUGGCUAAAUAAGUGUAAGGUUGGUAUGGAUCUCUCCGUUGCUUUUUUUAGAUACUAACUAAGUUGGCC
rnacentral:lncRNA from 1 species